rnacentral:rRNA from 1 species
CCGAACUGAGACCGGCUUUUUGGGAUUCGCUCCACCUUACGGUAUCGCAGCCCUCUGUACCGGCCAUUGUAGCAUGCGUGAAGCCCAAGACAUAAGGGGCAUGAUGAUUUGACGUCAUCCCCACCUUCCUCCGAGUUGACCCCGGCAGUCUCCCAUGAGUCCCCGGCAUAACCCGCUGGCAACAUAGGACGAGGGUUGCGCUCGUUGCGGGACUUAACCCAACAUCUCACGACACGAGCUGACGACAACCAUGCACCACCUGUGUACGAGUGUCCAAAGAGAACCCCGUCUCGGGGGCUUUCUCGUACAUGUCAAGCCUUGGUAAGGUUCUUCGCGUUGCAUCGAAUUAAUCCGCAUGCUCCGCCGCUUGUGCGGGCCCCCGUCAAUUCCUUUGAGUUUUAGCCUUGCGGCCGUACUCCCCAGGCGGGGCACUUAAUGCGUUAGCUGCGGCACGGAACUCGUGGAAUGAGCCCCACACCUAGUGCCCAACGUUUACGGCAUGGACUACCAGGGUAUCUAAUCCUGUUCGCUCCCCAUGCUUUCGCUCCUCAGCGUCAGUUGCGGCCCAGAGACCUGCCUUCGCCAUCGGUGUUCCUCCUGAUAUCUGCGCAUUCCACCGCUACACCAGGAAUUCCAGUCUCCCCUACCGCACUCUAGUCUGCCCGUACCCGAUGCAAGCCCGAGGUUGAGCCUCGGGAUUUCACACCAGACGCGACAGACCGCCUACGAGCUCUUUACGCCCAAUAAUUCCGGACAACGCUUGCGCCCUACGUAUUACCGCGGCUGCCGGCACGUAGUUAGCCGGCGCUUCUUCUGCAGGUACCGUCACUUGCGCUUCUUCCCUGCUGAAAGAGGUUUACAACCCGAAGGCCGUCAUCCCUCACGCGGCGUCGCUGCAUCAGGCUUGCGCCCAUUGUGCAAUAUUCCCCACUGCUGCCUCCCGUAGGAGUCUGGGCCGUGUCUCAGUCCCAGUGUGGCCGGUCGCCCUCUCAGGCCGGCUACCCGUCGACGCCUUGGUAGGCCAUCACCCCACCAACAAGCUGAUAGGCCGCGAGCCCAUCCCCCACCGAAAAACUUUCCAACCCACACCAUGCGAUGCGAGCUCAUAUCCGGUAUUAGACCCCGUUUCCAAGGCUUAUCCCGAAGUGGAGGGCAGGUUGCUCACGUGUUACUCACCCGUUCGCCACUGAUCCACCCAGCAAGCUGGGCUUCACC